GGUAAAAAAUUAGAAAGGGAUUAGGUCAAAACGUACGUGUGACCUUUGAGCUUUCCCUUCAGACCUUCUCUCCCCCCUCUUUCACGAGCGGCGGCCGGAAUCUCCAACCUCAACGGCGCCGAUUUGAGCUUCCCUUCCGAUUGAAGCUUCAUUCCGUCGUCGUGAACCAAGUAAACAAGACAACACUCAUCUCCCUGCUUCAAACUCUCUUCGUGCGCGACGGCAGCAACUUUUACCUCAACUCAAAUUCUCCGUCUCUCUCGAUCGCUCUCUCUCCGAUUCUUUUCGUUCUUCUGUUACUGCUCUCAAUCGGCCUCUCUGCCGAUUUCGUCUCAGACUCGUGUUCAUCUUUUAAUCCACCUCUCCAAUUUCACGUUCUUCUCUUCCUCUUCAUGCGGUUGCGUUUUAUGUUGUGAUGAUGAUGUUUUUCUUGCAGAUUGUUGGAGACCGAAGAAACUCCGUUCUUUCGCAAAAUUGAAGGGCGAAUGGAGAGUUCUUGAGGAUUGACAGAUAUGGCUAUGACGUGAAGAGAUUAUGGUGAAUUGAAGAUCAAUGUGUGGCGAAGACUGUGAUGAAGAUUGAGAGGGAUUGAAGAUUGUUCUGUGAUGUGAAGAUUGAUGGAUGAAAAUGAUGAGAUUGAAGAAUGGCAAUGAUGCUGAAUGAAGGUUGGGAUUGGUGUGUCGCGAUGAAGAUUGAAGGGAUCGAAGGUCAAAUCAGAGGGAAGAUUAAAGAAGAUGAAGACCCGGAAAGUUUAUCUUUGAAGAUGAAGUAAUGGUGGUUCAUAGAUUAUGGAGAUAGGAGGAUGAAGAGUGUUGAAGAGUGUUGGAGAGUGUUGAAGAUUAUUGAGGUUUUUUCCAUUUUUUUUCAGAAUUGUGAUUGAAGAAUUGGAUCGAGAGAGAGAGAUCAAAAGAGAAGGCUUCAAGAGUUUGUUACAAUUCAGUUAUCUGUUAGUUAUUUCUGUUUUCUGUUACAUCUGAUGCGGUUCCAAAAGGCCCUUCUUCUGUGAACCGGUUUUUGAAGUGCAAGCAGUUUUUUCUUUGAUGUGCAGGCUUACGGUUCGGUUCAACAUCGAACCGGUUUUUUGUCUUGGUUUGAAUACAGGGCUGAAUCUGGUUUGUAGCUCGGUUCUCUUUUGAUUGUUGCCAGCAGUGGUUUUAUUGAUGUAUGCUUUUUGAACUGGUUUUGAUGUGCUGCCGAUUUCGUGGAAAACUAUUGCGGAUCCUUUGUAGCAGCAGCAUUUUGAAGUGCAAAGUUUUUCUGAUUUUCAAUUAUUAGAAAUGAUCAUUCUAAUCUUCGGUGUAAUAUUUAUUUCCUGUAUUUUUGUGUUGUAAAACUUGUAUAAGCAACGCGAAGAUUGUUGAUAGGAUACGAAGUCAAGGAUAUUUUUGUGUAAAUAACUUUGUUUGCACUUGUAACUUGAAUAAGAACUUGGACAUGUUUGAUUGUAA